GGUCCUUGGCUCAAAUCAUCAUCAGGUGUUUAAUAAGAAGAAACAAGUUCAAUUAAGAGAUUAAGUAUGGAUGGUCCAAAUAGUAAGACUGUGAGAAGCAUUAACAAAGGCCCCAUCAAGGGAAAUAAGCGAGGUGCCCAAUUCCAGAUUUUGACCAGCAUCCCCAUGACUCAGCUAGUUAGUUCCUGGUGGAUCUUAACAACACAGUCAGCUAGCUUUCAUGCUGUGUCUUUCACUAUUUUAGACGGAUUGACAAAGAAACAACAUUUUUUUUCUAGAAACAGACAUAAUCUUCCUUUCUCAGUAGUCAGGUGGUCUAGUCCCCCAUGGUUUUGUAGAGCCAAUGCUGCCAGUGAAUCUAUUGGAUUUGGGGGAUGACAAUGCUCUGGAAGAUUUGGACUAGGCUGUGUGUCAGGUCCUUAGAUAAUUUUUGGUAAGGAGAGAGAUGUCCUCCUACUCCAGUGCCCAUUCAAGUUGUACCCAGACCCUCUAGGAGAGGAAUGAGUUCUUGGCUCACUUGGUUUUUGUCUUGAUAACUAAAGGAACUGGAAGAGAUGGCUACUAGGUGCUUUGGGGCCAGAUAAAUGCAGGUGCAUGUUCCUGUCCAGUUUGAUGGAAGACUGAAAUAAGAGAGGCAAUCCUUGAGCCACCAAAGAGGAUCUGAGGCCAAAGAAGAACAAGAACAAACCAAGAGAGUGUCAUCCACAGAAUCAGAUGAGGCAGAGUGCAGAGGGUCUGUCUGCACACUGGAGACCAAAGGAUUCAGUUGAAGGUCUGGAGCUCAUUGCAACGUCCCAUUUGAGUCCCUAUCAGGAGGCCCAUGGGUCUGCAGUGGAAGGCUGAAAAGCCUACACUGGAAGGCUGAAAGAUCUGCACUGGAAGCUGAAGAGUCUGCAAUGGAAGCCAGGAGACGACGUCCAAGGUGAAGGUGAAGACCGGAGUCCUCUACAGAAACAGAAGCAGACCCAUCCUUCUUCAUUUCCCCUUAAUACAUCCAGGUGACAAGCACUCUAGGAUGGGUCUUCCGCACCCUAAGUGGAGAAUUGCUGAGCCAAUUUAACUGAGCUUCUCUUACUCAAGCUGACACAGUCAGCCAUCACAGCCUCCAAGCGCCGACUGCAGCCAUCUUCUCCUGCUCCUCCUUGCCCUGCAUGCCCGGCUCUGCCCUCUCCUGUCCCCUGUGCAGCUCUCACUUCUAGGCACCUACUUGCCCAAUACACCUGUCUCUUUUACCCACAGCUGUACCUGAGGGUGGCCUGGAGACAGUGCCACUGACUCAAAGCCUGAAGCCACUGCAAAGUCAUACUCUCCAUCCCUCCAGCCCCCAGAUUUCCUGGCGACCCUUCUGGGGAGAGGUAUUUGUUAUUUGUUCGCUUGUCCAUCCAUCCAGUCACAUUUAUAAGCACUUACCUGACUCCUCUGAAUGAGGGGACCAAGGGAGCUGUCAGCUGUGGGAACACCUGGCCACAGGAAUCCAGAAGGGAAAUAGUGUGUGGGGAAAGAGGCUCCCCUGGAGCUGCAGGAAGAAGAAAGUGGGGUGCUGGAUAUUUUCUAGAUCCUUUCAAGGACUUUCCAGGGGUUCUAUUAUGGACAGAUAAGUUAGAUAGAAAUAUUACAGGCAGUCAAAUAGGAUUAGGCCCUCAAGAGAGCCAGGACAAAGGUGAAACACAAUACAACUGUGGCCAGAGAUGUAUCUGUUAGAGACCAGGCCUCAAGAUAAAGACGAGAUGACUAGGCCUAUAUACUUCCUAGACAAACACCGGGCCUAAUGGUCUGGAUAGACAUCCGUCACCCCCAGUGGGUGACCAAAGACCUCUGGAUCCAUCAUUUACUAGAAGAAGUCUUUGUUCUUUGCACACUUGUUACAUGACUUGUUUCCCAAUUGGAUCACUAGUUUCUAAGUGACUAUGCUUAUAACUUUAUUCAUUAUAGCUGAAAUCCACAUUGUACCCACGUGGGUUUUGCUCUAUAAAACUUCCCUGUAAAGUGGAGUCCUCCGGCUACCCAUUUGGGACCCCUCCUGCCUCUCGGGAGCUAGCCUCUCAAUAAACAUCUACUGUUCCUACUCUUAAUGUCUGUUAUUCCGAGAAUUCAUUCUUUGAUUUUUAGAGAUCAUGAGCUUAAAGUAUCAGAUCUAACAGGUUGGGGGAUAUAUUUUCAUAUUUUAUCUCCUAUAUCAUAUCCUGUAUCAGUUCCAGCCUCCUGGACUAUGCUAGAGGUUUGGAGUGUCCACUGCCACAGGAUGGGUGCCUCUUGGACCCAAGGAGCAUGCUGGAGGCAUGCUGGAGGCGCUAGACUCUCUGCAGGAUGGUAGAAUCAGCCCAGUAGUCCAAAACGGCCACACACUCAACCUCCUGGUAGCCUCCCCAAGCUCCCAUUUUCAGAGGAGGAGGGAUCCUGGGUGCAGGAUGCUGAGCUGUGGAGGGAGAUGCUGUCCAGCAGGUGCCACACAAAUCCUGCCCUCUGAGGUGGGGUUGGGAUGACCUGGCCACCACAGUCAGAUGAGCUCCGGAUGUGCAUGGUUUCUCUAAGUAAGCUUUAUAUUAACUCUAGCAGCGCCGAGUGUUCCCAUUUUAUGGGUGAGGAGACUGAGGCAUGGAGAAGAGCCCAGAAGUGACUAACCAGGGAUUUGAAUUCACAUCUCACUUCAGGAGUCUGAGUCCUGGGCCA